GAGACACCCUUCUGUGGCAAGAUUUGCUUCAGUGGGGCUUUGGUGCUCACUGAGUCUGCCCCCUGAGUGUGUCCCU
rnacentral:pre_miRNA from 1 species